GAUGAACGCUAGCGGCAGGCCUAACACAUGCAAGUCGAGGGGUAGAGUUAGCUUGCUAACUUGAGACCGGCGCACGGGUGCGUAACGCGUAUGCAAUCUACCUUAUACAGAGGGAUAGCCCAGAGAAAUUUGGAUUAAUGCCUCAUAGUAUUAUCGAGUGGCAUCAUUUGAUAAUUAAAGUUCCAACGGUAUAAGAUGAGCAUGCGUCCCAUUAGUUAGUUGGUAAGGUAACGGCUUACCAAGACUAUGAUGGGUAGGGGUCCUGAGAGGGAGAUCCCCCACACUGGUACUGAGACACGGACCAGACUCCUACGGGAGGCAGCAGUGAGGAAUAUUGGACAAUGGGCGCAAGCCUGAUCCAGCCAUGCCGCGUGCAGGAAGACGGUCCUAUGGAUUGUAAACUGCUUUUUANACAGGAANAACAUCUCUACGUGUAGAG
rnacentral:rRNA from 1 species